rnacentral:rRNA from 1 species
CUUGACAUCCAGAGAAUUUAGCAGAGAUGCUUUAGUGCCUUCGGGAACUCUGAGACAGGUGCUGCACGGCUGUCGUCAGCUCGUGUUGUGAAAUGUUGGGUUAAGUCCCGNAACGAGCGCAACCCUUAUCCUUUGUUGCCAGCACGUAAUGGUGGGAACUCAAAGGAGACUGCCGGUGAUAAACCGGAGGAAGGUGGGGAUGACGUCAAGUCAUCAUGGCCCUUACGAGUAGGGCUACACACGUGCUACAAUGGCGCAUACAAAGAGAAGCGACCUCGCGAGAGCAAGCGGACCUCAUAAAGUGCGUCGUAGUCCGGAUUGGAGUCUGCAACUCGACUCCAUGAAGUCGGAAUCGCUAGUAAUCGUAAAUCAGAAUGUUACGGUGAAUACGUUCCCGGGCCUUGUACACACCGCCCGUCACACCAUGGGAGUGGGUUGCAAAAGAAGUAGAUAGCUUAACCUUCGGGAGGGCGUUUACCACUUUGUGAUUCAUGACUGGGGUGAAGUCGUAACAAGGUAGGCGUAGUGCU